rnacentral:rRNA from 1 species
CCUACGGGAGACAGCAGUGAGGAAUAUUGGUCAAUGGCCGGAAGGCUGAACCCGCCAAGCCGCAUGAAGGACGAAGGUGCCAAGCAUUGUAAACUUCUUUUGUCAAGGGACAACAUCAGGCUCGAGAGCCUGACCGCGGGUACUUGAAGCAAAAGCAUCGGCUAACUCCGUGCCAGCCGCCGCGGUAAUACGGAGGAUGCGCGCGGUAUCCGGCUUUAUUGGGUUAAAGGGGUUCGUAGGCGGACUGUUAAUUCAGCGGUAAAAGUCCGGGGCUAAACCCCGGCAAGCCGUUGAAACUGGCUGUCUUGAGAUGUCGAGAGGUAUGCGGAAUGCGCAGUGUAGCGGUGAAAUGCUGAGAUAGUGCGCAGAACUCCGAUUGCGAAGGCAGCAUACCGGCGGCGAUCUGACGCUGAGGCACGAAAGCGUGGGUAUCGAACAGGAUUAGAUACCCUAGUAGUC